UACGUAGGGGGCUAGCGUUGUCCGGAAUCAUUGGGCGUAAAGGGCGCGUAGGCGGCCUGUUAAGUCGGACGUGAAAUCCCUCGGCUCAACCGGGGAACUGCGUCCGAUACUGGUGGGCUUGAAUCCGGGAGAGGGAUGUGGAAUUCCAGGUGUAGCGGUGAAAUGCGUAGAUAUCAAGAGGAACACCUGAGGUGAAGACGGGUUGCUGGUCUAACACUGACGCUGAGGCGCGAAAGCCAGGGGAGCAAACGGG
rnacentral:rRNA from 1 species